AUACGAGGGGUCCAAGCGUUGUUCGGAAUUACUGGGCGUAAAGCGGGUGUAGGCGGCUCGGUUAGUCGGAUGUGAAAGCCCAGGGCUCAACCCUGGAAGUGCAUCCGAUACUACCGAGCUUGAGUACGGGAGAGGGAAGUAGAAUUUCAGGUGUAGUGGUGAAAUACGUAGAUAUCUGAAGGAAUACCGGUUGCGAAGGCGGCUUCCUGGCCCAGUACUGACGCUCAGACCCGAAAGCGUGGGGAGCAAACAGGAUUAGAAACCCUAGUAGUCC
rnacentral:rRNA from 1 species